UCGGUUGAUCCUGCCGGACCUACUGCUAUCUGGGUGGGACUUAAACAUGCGAGUCGAACGUUUCACAGCCAUGAGUGAAACGCGGCAUACGGCUCAGUAACACGUGGCUAACCCACCCUCGGGACGGAGACAACCCCGGGAAACUGGGACCAAUGUCCGAUAGGCGAAGACUCCUGNAAUGGGUCUUCACCCAAAAGGCGUUGCGGUCAUGCUCUGUAACGUCGCCCGAGGACGGGGCCGCGGCCGAUCAGGUAGUUGGCGAGGCAACGGCUCACCAAGCCUAUAACCGGUACGGGCCGUGGGAGCGGGAGCCCGGAGAUGGGCACUGAGACAAGGGCCCAGGCCCUACGGGGCGCAGCAGUUGCGAAAACUUGUCAAUGCACGAAAGUGUGAACGGGCUACCCCGAGUGCCGUCCGCUGAGGAUGGCUUUUCUCUGCUGUAAGAAGGCGGAGGAAUACGGAGAGGGCAAGUCUGGUGUCAGCCGCCGCGGUAAUACCAGCUCUCCGAGUGGUAGGGAUGAUUAUUGGGCUUGAAGCG
rnacentral:rRNA from 1 species